AUACGUAGGGGGCGAGCGUUGUCCGGAAUGAUUGGGCGUAAAGGGCGCGUAGGCGGCCCGGUAAGUCUGGAGUGAAAGUCCUGUUUUUAAGAUGGGAAUUGCUUUGGAUACUGUCGGGCUUGAGUGCAGGAGAGGUAAGUGGAAUUCCCAGUGUAGCGGUGAAAUGCGUAGAGAUUGGGAGGAACACCAGUGGCGAAGGCGACUAACUGGACUGUAACUGACGCUGAGGCGCGAAAGUGUGGGGAGCAAACAGGAUUAGAUACCCUGGUAGUCCACACUGUAAACGAUGAAUGCUAGGUGUAGGGGGUAUCGACCCCUUCUGUGCCGCAGUCAACACAAUAAGCAUUCCGCCUGGGGAGUACGGCCGCAAGGUUGAAACUCAAAUGAAUUGACGGGG
rnacentral:rRNA from 1 species